UGCUAAAGUGGCUCCUGCCUGACGUGAGAACCCCUGGGCUGGAUCUGUGCUGUAACCCUCGAUGGCCUCCAAGGCUCUCCUGACCUGUACCCACACUCUGUGCUGAUCAUCAGGAGGCCCCUUUGCUGGGAAGUCUGAUUUCCCUUUUCACUUGUCCAUCUGCUGGGCUCUCCUAGCAAGACUCCCCAUGGCUAUCUGGGCCAGAGAUGAGACAGAGAGGUAAAGAAUGACGGACUUUGAGAGAUUGGUCUCACGGAAAAAGAGGCAGAGCACAGGCUGGGCACAGGUCGGGAUGACUCUUGCUCCUUCAAAAAAGCACAGAGGGGACUUCCUGGUACUCUGUCCUAGAAUCCACAAUGAAUCUGACCUCUUGGAAGAUGGAACAGUGGUGCUCAACAACACACGUGACAGAAGGUGGUAACACUUCAAUUCAUACUCGCUUAUUGACUUUCCUUCUUUCACCGCCUCACCAUCCUUACACCUCACUGCUAUCCCACGUUUCAUGCUACUCUUCCUAGUGAUCUAAAACACAUGAGACUUGGUCUCUGAAAAAUCCAAGCUAGGGCAAGGAUGCAUGUCUUGCUUCACUUCUGAACUAUAGUAGAAGCUUCCCGCUUUCCCCUCUAUAAUUAUUUUUCUGAGGCUAAAUUGUUCUCUUUCCUAUCUCCAUCCCUAGUAAUUCAAAUCUUCCCAGGUUUGUGCAUUUCAAAGCUCAGUGCGCUGGACAUUUCUCCAUAGCUGUCUGCUUCGAAAAUCAUCUCCCAUUCCAUCUCCACAACACACGGGUAUAGUAUGAACUACUUUUGUUGUUACAUCUGCCAUCCUCCCCACCACAGUUGCCUUGCCCUGAUUCAGG
rnacentral:lncRNA from 1 species